UAUAUUGCGGCUAUAUAAGUUCACAAACUCGGCGUCUCCUUUCGUCUUUUGUUUUUUUCUCAUUCUCAAAAUUGCAGUCGCCGAAAGUUGUCUGUAAGAAGAGAUGGAAGAAAUGCAUGGAAGUAUGUUAUCUCAUUGCAUAAAGAAUGAAGGGAUGCUGCUGCUAAUCAAAUCAACGCUUUCCUCUCUUUCACAGCAAAAACAUUACGUUACAGCAUCAGGCAACAAUGAUCUUAAAGGUCAAUAUAUGGAGAAAGUUCAGGAAACCUGGUGGUGGGAAAUUUAUGGAGGCUGACACCCGUCUCUAAUACGACGUCGUCCUGAUUACAGCUGAAGUCAAAACCAAUAACAGAAGUUAUAUUAAAAAUAGAGUUACCAUGUGACAUUUAUGUAUUAUUUUAUUAAGUUUCUACUGUUUUUUUCGUUUCAUUUAAAGAUGUAAUGAGAUAACAAGUGAUAAAAUGAUUCCAUCACUUUUAUGUAUUCUUUUGUUAUAUUUUCA